CGCUAGGGGAGCUCGUGUUACCGGGCUGAGAGGGCGGCGGAAGCCGCCAACCCUUGAACCUGACCUGGGUAAUGCCAGCGUAGGGAAGCG
rnacentral:ncRNA from 1 species